AUUGAACGCUGGCGGCAGGCCUAACACAUGCAAGUCGAACGAGUGGCGGACGGGUGAGUAAUGUCUGGGUAACUGCCUGAUGGGGGGGGAUAACUACUGGAAACGGUAUCCAAUACCGCAUACCAUCAUAUGAGCCGAGAUGGGAUUAGCUUGUUGGUGGGGUAACGGCUAACCAAGGCGACGAUCCCUAGCUGGUCUGAGAGGAUGACCAGCCACACUGGAACUGAGAAACGGUCCAGCCUCCUACGGGAGGCAGCAGUGGGGAAUAUUGCACAAUGGGCGAAAGCCUGAUGCAGCCAUGCGGCGUGUAUGAAGAAGGCCUUAGGGUUGUAAAGUACUUUCAGCGGGGAGGCGUUACCGGCAGAAGAAGCACCGGCUAACUCCGUGCCAGCAGCCGCGGUAAUAC
rnacentral:rRNA from 1 species